rnacentral:misc_RNA from 1 species
UCUCCGUUGGUGAACCAGCGGAGGGAUCAUUACCGAGUUUACAACUCCCAAACCCCUAUGUGAACGUUACCAAACUGUUGCCUCGGCGGGAAAUUCAUGCCCCGGGCGCGUCGCAGCCCCGGACCAAGGCGCCCGCCGGAGGACCAACCAAAACUCUUUUGUAUGUCCCUCGCGGACUUUUAUAAUUCUGAACCAUCUCGGCGCCCCUAGCGGGCGUUUCGAAAAUGAAUCAAAACUUUCAACAACGGAUCUCUUGGUCCUG